AUAGAAGGUCGUGCCUUCCCAGUGGGCAGAAAAAGCCUAAACGGACGCGGUAAAUCGUGCUAAGGUAGCUAAAUUAUGGCCCAUUAAUUGUGGGCCCUGUGAAUGGUUUGACGAGUUCUCAGCUGUCUCAAAGUUGUUUUGGUGAACUUGAAUUAAAAGUGCANAUGCUUUUAUGAGUAAGAAAGACGAGAAGACCCCGUGAAGUUAGAAAUGUUUCACAUAGCGCUAAUCUUUGGUGGAGUUUUGAUAGGACUUCUAUAGUUUUUGAAUAAAAAUAGGGAUUUAUUUUUAUUUAUAAGUGCAAAGAGUGUGUGUUUUGCGUUUUGGCUGGGGCAGCUAGGAGGCAAGGCUAGACCUCCUUCGAUAUUAAACGGGUGCGUUACGAUCCACAGAGCUUAAGUGUGUGAUUAGCAGAAGAAGUUACUCCGGGGAUAACAGCGUUAUCCGUCUUGACAGUCCUUAUAGACAGACGGGUUUGCGACCUCGAUGUUGGCUCUGGAUGUCCUGAGGCUUGCAGGAGGUCUCGAGGGUUGGNUUGUUCACCCAUUAAAAUCC
rnacentral:rRNA from 1 species